rnacentral:tRNA from 1 species
GGUCGCAUAGCUCAGUUGGUUAGAGCAUUGCAUUCACAUUGCAAGGGUCCCUGGUUCGAGUCCAGGUGCGACCACCA